GUGAGGCAGAUGGAGCUCCCUUGUAAUUACUUAUAGAGGCGUGGCCUGUUGCCAAGGUAACGGCUGCAGUAACAGCAAAGAAAUUGAUAUCUGAAUUUGUGUGCAGGUAUGGCCUACAUGAAACGGUUGAGAGAGCAAAUAGCGUAUUAAAAAUGUCUAAGAUCUGUGAGCAAACAAAACUUACAUGGGUACAAGCUUUACCAGUAGAUCCUUUUGCAAUGAGGUAUA